UAAGUUAUAUAUGUAUAUGUUAUCAAUCUUAUACAAUGCAUUUUACCUGUAUCCACAGCCUAUACAUUUAUAUGUAAAUUUUGUUUUAAUUUCGUAAUCAUGACACCUUUUUAUCGGAGGUAAUUCAGGAAAUAUUUUCAUAGCUUUAUUGGCCCUAUAAAGUAAUUAAUUAAAUUAAUAUUUUAGUGAAUAUGUGAAUAAUUAAUUAUUAUAAUAUACCAUUUUGUCCAAAAUGGACCAUGUCCAUCAGAAACCCCAUUUAUCAACCAUGCAGCUGCAUGACACAUUUCAUGAAUUAAGCAUCUGGAUGUACAUUAGCAAGAGAAACACUUUGAGCCAAAGAUGCCAGGAAGCUGAUUUUGGUGGUACAUCAUCACCAGGAUCAAAUUCACUAGUGCUUGAGCCUUCACUUUCAUCAUUACUGAAUGACAAUUUUCUUCUUAUGUUAAAUAUUUGAUUAUCAUUGUGUAUAUUACCUUCAUCUUCAGUAUCUGAAUCACAUAUUGCAAGAAC
rnacentral:misc_RNA from 1 species